GCCGUUUCCAGUACUUCCCCUUUUUCCCUGGGCGCGUUAGUUUUGAAAGGUAUUGUUCAAUGAGAUUUAGGGUUGACAAGCUCUGACUAAACACGAGUGCUUUGUCACCAACAUUAGAGCUCAUUGUCAGGAUGUCGAGUAGCAAAACCAUUUUGCCACUAUAAUCAACUUCUUUGCAAUUAUUAUCUAGAAGAUCACUCCACCAAUCCCCAUGGAGGAAGCCAUUAUGAUUUUUUUUGAGAGCUUCAUUGUUGCUAUUCGUCUUCUCUGCAGAAACUCCAGAAACCACAUUAUAAUAUGUGUUCUCAUCACUUGAGCAAUCAUCUGCAAGAAGGAUCUCAACAGGAUCUUCAGGACGACUAGAGAUUCUGUUUUCUCGCGUCAAUUGCAAAAUCCCAGGAUGGUUCCAUAUCU
rnacentral:misc_RNA from 1 species